UGGGGAAUAUUGGACAAUGGGCGCAAGCCUGAUCCAGCCAUGCCGCGUGGGUGAUGAAGGCCUUAGGGUUGUAAAGCCCUUUCGGCGGGGAAGAUAAUGACGGUACCCGCAGAAGAAGCCCCGGCUAACUUCGUGCCAGCAGCCGCGGUAAUACGAAGGGGGUUAGCGUUGCUCGGAAUCACUGGGCGUAAAGCGCACGUAGGCGGAUUGCUAAGUCAGGGGUGAAAUCCUGGAGCUCAACUCCAGAACUGCCCUUGAUACUGGCGACCUUGAGUCCGGGAGAGGUGAGUGGAACUGCGAGUGUAGAGGUGAAAUUCGUAGAUAUUCGCAAGAACACCAGUGGCGAAGGCGGCUCACUGGCCCGGUACUGACGCUGAGGUGCGAAAGCGUGGGGAGCAAACAGG
rnacentral:rRNA from 1 species